UGUUUGAUGUUCUAACGUGGACCCGUGAUCCGGGUUGCGGACAGUGUCUGGUGGGUAGUUUGACUGGGGCGGUCUCCUCCUAAAGAGUAACGGAGGAGCACGAAGGUUGGCUAAUCCUGGUCGGACAUCAGGAGGUUAGUGCAAUGGCAUAAGCCAGCUUGACUGCGAGCGUGACGGCGCGAGCAGGUGCGAAAGCAGGUCAUAGUGAUCCGGUGGUUCUGAAUGGAAGGGCCAUCGCUCAACGGAUAAAAGGUACUCCGGGGAUAACAGGCUGAUACCGCCCAAGAGUUCAUAUCGACGGCGGUGUUUGGCACCUCGAUGUCGGCUCAUCACAUCCUGGGGCUGAAGUAGGUCCCAAGGGUAUGGCUGUUCGCCAUUUAAAGUGGUACGCGAGCUGGGUUUAGAACGUCGUGAGACAGUUCGGUCCCUAUCUGCCGUGGGCGCUGGAGAACUGAGGGGGGCUGCUCCUAGUACGAGAGGACCGGAGUGGACGCAUCACUGGUGUUCGGGUUGUCAUGCCAAUGGCACUGCCCGGUAGCUAAAUGCGGAAGAGAUAAGUGCUGAAAGCAUCUAAGCACGAAACUUGCCCCGAGAUGAGUUCUCCCUGAGACUUUAGGUCUCCUGAAGGAACGUUGAAGACGACGACGU
rnacentral:rRNA from 1 species